ensembl:lncRNA
GAAGAAUACAAACAGGAGGUCUGGACCUUCCUUCAGCUUGCAAUAGUCAUGGAAACAUCAGGACGAAAUCAGACCCUUGAAACCCAAACCACAUCUGGUGUAUUUUCUUCCAUGACAGUCACAUAGGGACAGAGGAGAAGCACCUGCCCCUCCCUUCUCUUUUCCUGUGGUGGCUGAAGGGAGGGGGUGGUUUGGCCAAGGAGGUGCAGCUUGGCUGUCAUCAUUGGCGCCCUUCCCAGCACUCCCUGUUCCAGACACUGCCCUUUAUUUGAAGAAGUGGUAAGGAAAUGGCUCCUAAUGUGACAGAGUUUUGUCUCUCAGGUUGGAUAUGAAGCUGGAAUAGGAUGAAGAGCUGAAGGAAUUACUCUGCAGUCCCACAGAGCUAUGUCUGUUUUCCUGGCUGAGUUUCCCUUAAGCUGAGUUUCCUGUCUGUAAAAGGCUCUGGAUCUGACUUUCUCCAGGAUCUUUCUUCUACUCUCCAUCUUCCAAUGUCUUUAGGAAGAUCACUCCAGGAAAAGUUUGGAAGAUGGACCAGGCAGGAGCCAUUCAAAAAGUCAAGGACAGCAGCAACUCCAAAUGGUCCCCCACCUAACCCAUUCACAUCUUGCCCUUUAGAAACAUUAGACUGUCCCGGACUUUUCCCAUCUACACCCUGCUCUAUCUUCCUGCCUUUUUUUUUUGUACACUUCUCACUUAACAUGCUGCAUUCUUUACUGAUUUUUUUGUUCAUUAUUUCUUAUUUGUCUGGCCCAACAGAAUAUCAGUUCCACAAAGGCAGGCAUCUUUGAC